AGCGAACGCUGGCGGCAGGCUUAACACAUGCAAGUCGAACGGGCAUCUUCGGAUGUCAGUGGCAGACGGGUGAGUAACACGUGGGAACGUACCCUUCGGUUCGGAAUAACUCAGGGAAACUUGAGCUAAUACCGGAUACGCCCUUUUGGGGAAAGGUUUACUGCCGAAGGAUCGGCCCGCGUCUGAUUAGCUUGUUGGUGGGGUAACGGCCUACCAAGGCGACGAUCAGUAGCUGGUCUGAGAGGAUGAUCAGCCACACUGGGACUGAGACACGGCCCAGACUCCUACGGGAGGCAGCAGUGGGGAAUAUUGGACAAUGGGCGCAAGCCUGAUCCAGCCAUGACGCGUGAGUGAUGAAGGCCUUAGGGUUGUAAAGCUCUUUUGUCCGGGACGAUAAUGACGGUACCGGAAGAAUAAGCCCCGGCUAACUUCGUG
rnacentral:rRNA from 1 species